GUAAGACUCUCGUAACUGCCCAGGGACC
rnacentral:piRNA from 1 species